CAAACUCUUUAAACAACCCAUUAGAUUAUUUGAGGCUUUGAGCAGAACAGUAGUUAGUAGACGAAGGGAACCUUCAAAAUUCCAUAAAAAUGGCUCCGAAGAAGAAGCAACAGCAGCAGAAAAGCAAUAAAAAACCUCAAUCAUCAUCAUCAUCAAAAGGUCCGAAGCUGCAAAUUUCGGUAGAGAACGAGGAGAGAUUGCGUCGCUUGCUACUCAACAAUACUACAAAUACUUCUACUGUCCGACCCGUACCUGAAGAUUCACUCUCCAAAGCACAGAAAGCCAAAAAGCUCAAAUCCAUUUACGAACACCUCUCUUGCGAAGGCUUUACUGAUGAUCAGAUUGAGCAGGCUCUUUCUGCUCUUAAGGAUGCUGCAACUUUUGAAGUUGCAUUGGACUGGUUGUGCUUAAAUUUAUCUCGAACUGAGCUACCAGUCAAGUUCCGAGAUGCGUCAUCUCUUCAUACAGGAGGGUCUAUCAGUGUGCUAUCUACUGCCCAAGAAAAUUGGACUCACCCAGCUGAUACAUCACUUAGAUCUGAGGAUGAAGUUUGCCGAUUUUCUGUCAUAACGAAAGGCCACCAUGAUGAUGAUUCUUUUGUUUUACAUGAGCCCUCCCAAGCUGAUUGGAUUCGUCAAUACAUGGAGAGAGAGGAUGAGAUGGAAUCUGAAACUUGGGAAGAUAUGUUCUCAGAUGAAGGAGCUAACAAGAAGGUUGCUGAACCAAGGCCGUAUGAUUUGAUUUUUGAAGAUUACCAAUCUGCACGUUUGGAAGCUGUUGCUGCUAAGGAGAAAGGGGACAAGAAAGGCCAGGAAGCAGCUAGUAAUAGAAUCCGCAUGCUCAAGCAGGAGAUAUCUUCCUUAGGGGAAUCUGAUAGACUCAUGUCUGAUAUUAGCAAUAUGAAGGCACCUUGCUCUGUGGACGACAAACAAAACUAUAGUACGGAUGCCAUGGAUGAUUCAUCAAUUUGUAAAGUGGACAUGGAGCAUUGCUCCAAGGAUGAGGUCACAGUUAAAAACAUUCUUGUUGAUAAGGUGGCAGCUGUAGAAGAGGAAUCUGAAGACACGGAGCUUGGUAAUUUUUUUAUGGAAGAUGAUUCAAGUAAUGUAGCCUUACCCCCUGAAGUCUUGAUGAUUCAGAGUAAAGCAAGGACAAGAGCUUUUCCAACUAGCAAGGAUUUGGAAAAAUUAGAGGGCAUUUGGAAGAAGGGCGAUUCACCAAGGAUUCCUAAAGCUCUCCUUCAUCAACUGUGCCAAAGAUCAGGCUGGGACCUUCCAAAAUUUGACAAAGUGGGUAAGAAAGGAAGUGGUUUCAGUUAUAGUGUUAGCGUGUUGCGUAAGUCUACAGGGAGGGGUAAGAGCAGAAAAGCUGGUGGUUUGAUGACUUUGCAGCUCCCUGGGCCGGUUGAAGUUUUUGAAUCUGUGGAGGAAGCACAAAAUAGAGUAGCUGCUUUCGCCCUUCGCCACUUGUUUCCUGAUAUACCAGUUCAGUUUCUGAUUACAGAGCCAUAUGCUACACUUGUUAGUAAAUGGCAAGAAGGGGAAUCGUCUAACAUGAUUGAUAACGCUCUGGAAGAUCGAAGAUCUGGUUUUGUGGAUUCAUUAUUAAAUGCUGAUUCUUCGGUAAAGAUUAAUUUAGGUGAUGUUGGUGAUAGCUUGAAUGAAAAUGAGGCUUCUGAGUUGUUCGAUGAGCAAUUUUCUGCUGCUGGUUUCCAUGGGAAUAACUCUUUGGUAGAAAAGGAAUGCUCACUAUUAAGACAAGAACUAGAAAAAAAAAGAAAAACAUCAAGAUACAAGAGCAUGUUGGAAGCCAGAUCAAUGCUUCCAAUUGCUAAAACAAAGGAUGAAAUAUUGCAGUCAUUGAAACAGAACAAUGUCAUUGUUGUUUGUGGGGAAACAGGUUCUGGGAAGACUACUCAGGUCCCACAAUAUAUAUUGGAUGACAUUAUUAUGGCUGGCCGUGGAGGACAUUGCAACAUAGUGUGUACACAACCUCGACGAAUUGCAGCAAUUUCUGUUGCUGAAAGGGUCGCUGAUGAGAGAUGCGAACCUGCACCUGGUGUAGAUGGAUCGUUGAUUGGUUACCAAGUUCGCCUAGAUAGUGCAAGGCAUGAUGGAACUAAACUCCUUUUCUGUACAACUGGAAUUCUUUUGCGGCAAAUUGUGGGGAACAAGAGCUUUCAAGGUGUUACCCAUGUUAUAGUUGAUGAGGUGCAUGAACGCUCUUUGUUGGGUGAUUUCCUUCUUAUCAUGUUAAAGAAUUUACUGGAAAAGCAAUCUUCUCAUGGCACCCCAUCAUUUAAAGUUAUACUAAUGUCUGCAACACUUGACGCAAAUUUGUUUUCGAGAUACUUCGGGGAUUGCCCUGUGAUUACUGCAGAAGGUCGAACUCAUCCUGUGUCAACUUUCUUUCUUGAAGAUGUAUAUGAAAAAAUCAACUAUCGUCUUCCAUCAGAUUCUCCUGUCUCUUUAGGCUUUGAGACAUUUGGCCAUCAGAUAGUCCGUGGUUCAAUUGACAAUCGUAGAGGGAACAAAAAUCUUGUCUUAUCUUCACUUGGUGAUGAAGCUCUACUUUCAGAAGAAUGCAUAAAUCCACUGUAUGAUCCCAAUGCAUAUCAGUCAUACACUGAGCAAACACGACUGAAUCUGAAAAAAUUGAAUGAAGAUGUAAUUGAUUAUGAUCUACUUGAAGACUUGGUGUGCCACAUCGAUGAAAACUGUGGCAAUGGAGCCAUUCUUAUUUUCUUGCCAGGAAUUUCAGAAAUUUACCGAUUGCAUGAUAAGCUCGCUGCUUCAUAUCGAUUUGGUGGAGAAUCUUCUGAGUGGCUCCUGCCGUUGCACUCAUCUAUUGCUGCAGCUGACCAAAAAAAGGUGUUUCUGACGCCACCCAAAAACAUGCGUAAGAUUAUAAUGGCAACAAAUAUUGCAGAAACAAGCUUGACAAUAGAUGACGUGGUGUAUGUUGUUGAUUCCGGGAAGCAUAAGGAGUAUCGUUAUGACCCUAAGAAGAAACUCUCAAGGAUGGUUGAAGAUUGGAUAUCACAAGCAAACGCAAAGCAAAGACGAGGAAGAGCUGGACGAGUAAAGCCUGGUACUUGUUUUUGCUUGUAUACGCGCCAAAGAUUUGAAAAUAUAAUGCGUCCAUUCCAGGUUCCAGAGAUGCUAAGAAUGCCUCUGGUAGAAUUAUGUUUGCAGAUUAAGUUGCUUUCUCUUGGUGACAUAAAGUUAUUUUUGUCCAAGGCUCUUGAAAUACCAAAGGAUGAAGCCAUUAAUUCGGCAGUCUCAUCAUUAAAGGAGGUUGGUGCUGUUGAUGAAAAUGAGGAGCUGACUCCCCUUGGGCAUCAUUUGGCUAAACUUCCUGUUGACUUGCUGCUCGGAAAGAUGAUGCUAUAUGGUGCAAUAUUUGGCUGUUUAUCACCUAUUCUCUCAAUUGCUGCAAUCUUGAGUUACAAAUCGCCAUUUGUUCACCUGAGAGACGAGAGAGAAGGUGUCGAAAGAUCAAAACUGGCAAUUUUAUCAGACAAGACUGAUGAAUCAAUCAAUUCAUGCGAUAAUGAGAAGCAAUCUGAUCACAUCAUAAUGAUGAUUGCCUAUAAUAAAUGGGAAAAGAUUCUUCGAGUGAAAGGAGUCAAGGCUGCUCAAAAUUUCUGUAGACUACAUUCUCUCAGCAGCUCAGUUAUGAAUAUGAUUAGAGAUAUGCGGGUGCAGCUUGGAACACUACUAGCAGAUAUUGGACUUAUCCAUCUCCCGAAAGAGUAUCAGGUUAAGAAGAAAGGGAACCUGGAUAGCUGGCUUUCUGAUACAUCUCAAUCAUUUAACAAGCAUGCCGAUCAUUAUGCAGUGGUUAAGGCUAUAUUGUGUGCAGGGUUGUAUCCCAAUGUGGCAGCAACAGUAGAGGGUAUUCAUGCUCCAGCUCUUGGAAAUCUGAGACAAUCUAUUAAAUCUGUAUCUAAGGGAACUCCAGCUUGGUAUGAUGGAAAGAGAGAAGUUCAUAUACAUCCUUCUUCUGUCAAUGGAGAUUCAAAGACUUUCCAGUAUCCCUUCCUUGUAUUUCUUGAAAAGGUUGAAACCAACAGAAUUUUUCUUCGAGACACUACCAUUAUUUCUCCAUAUUCUCUUCUACUUUUUGGUGGUGCCAUAAAUGUUCAACAUCAGUUGGGACUUGUCACAGUUGAUGGUUGGUUGAAGGUGUCUGCACCCGCACAAACAGCUGUGUUGUUCAAGGAACUCCGCUUAACACUCCAAUCUGUUCUUAAUGAACUGAUUCGUUACCCACAGAGAGCAACAACUGAGAACGAAGUUUUGCAAUCUAUAAUUCACUUGCUGUUGGAGGAAACAAAAUCUCAAGCAUGACAAGUUAGUCAAAGCAAUACAGAUUCAAUUAUGGAUUUUUGGAUCAUCAUAGGAUCACCAUGGAAGAAAAGUGGAUCAAAAACACACGUAAGAAAUAAUGCUCACUCGUCAAUUGUCAUCUAUGAGCUAAAUAAUACACUAUUAUAAUACAUAUAACAAUUCAUAUAUCAUGAUAAAAGCCACCUUUACCGCUCAUUGGGCAGAUAGAGGGGCAUGUGAGCCAAUUGCUAUUAUAUUGAAACUCAUGAUAUUCCGGUUGAGCUUAGCUAGUGAAGGAAACCUAUACAAGCCACCUUUGCACUUGAUCCUUUACUAAGAAUGGACCAUAGAAUAUGGCUGUUAGUUGUAACAAGGGUGCUUGGCCAAAGAUCAAACAGUACUGCUGCAGCUUAAAAUACACCUAUUCACUCACCUUCAACUUUCAUCUCUUCAACGACUGUCGAUAGCCUCUCUAUUUUUUUAAUGCUUUAAUAAAUUAGCUCGCGAAUCAUCAAUGGGAGCUUCUCGUUCUGCUAGCAACUGCUUCAAGCUUUUCACAGUAGAGCCACGCCUAAUUUGAAUUUGUAGGGUGGAGCCCUUCGCAUACACGGAUUUAAAAUGUAGCAUUAAUAGAAUGUGGGAUGUGUUGUAACAAAAGUGUUCCCAAUGCAACACCUUCGCCCGCUUACGGUUACAGACACAGUUUACCCAUUGAUGAAGCAUCUAAGUUAAGCUUCAAGCCUCUCAUAAUACAAUCUCUGUUUUCCUAUACUCCAGUCCCAUCUGAUUGAGGGUGAUAUACCAUUUAUCUGCAUUGUGUCCCAUGAAACCUAAAUAAUUAUUGCUAGAAAUACUCAUGAACAUUAUGUCUCUACCCUAUGAUAUUUAUUAGGAAACAUGGAUGCACAAUAUUCUUUUACACAUAAACUGCUGUUGUAAGAGUUGCAAAAGGGUGUUUGAGUGCCACCAAACGUGCGUACUUAGACAAAUGGUCUGAGUUUACAUGGCAUGCCUUGCACAAUCCAAGUAAAUAACUUUUCCAAAUUUAUGAUGGUAUGGGCAGAGGUUGUCAUAAUCAGACUGGGAUGUGAUGUGAGGUUUUUUCUGUUGACAAAUCUAACAUUUGUUAGUGUUGAUUAAUCUGUGCAAUUAAGUAGUCCUGCUGCAUUAUAACGACUCCCAAUUCAUUUCCUGAAGCAUCCACCUUGACACAAAUGCUUGAGAAGAAUUUGUCAUGCGUAGAAUUGAGGUGGAAAUCAUAUCUGUCUCUUGAAGAAUUGCCGCACCGAAAAUGACAUGCCUAAAUUAGGACCUUCUAUUCACAUUCUUGCAUUGGCAAACAUGUUAGAAAAACUUAUUAUGGGAACUGGAAAAUAGUUGGAGCGCUGGCUAGUAUAAUGGCAUAACCAAGAAUUCAGUGCCAUUCAUGAUUAUUGUAGGUGGUUUUGUGAAAUCAUCCCCUUCACCCAAAUUUAAUGAUAUUUAACUUCAAAACCAACUUUGAGAAUGCUUUGGACCAAUGGAUUUAGUCUGAAAGUUCAUCAUCAAUCACUGGCAUUGGAUACUGGUCACCUUCUUAUUGAGGGCUUAAUAAUCGACACAAAACCUCCAUGACUCGACAGAUUAAAUCACCGCAUUGGAUGCUUUGAAAUAUUGCCGUUGGAUGGAUUUAUUAUGCAAACCUUUGAUAUGUCAACUGUUGUAUUGAAAAUCGAAUAGUGAUAGGGUCUCCUUUUGAAACAAAGGCAUGAUUGCGCUCACACAGUAGGAUAGGCCUGUGGGCAUAUUGAACACUUGCAAACUGAGCAGCGAAUGCUACUUCCACAAGGUCCGAAUUAUCAUGUUGAGGGUAAUUCAGAAUGAUUCAACGGCAGAUUCCCUUCAAUAUCUACCUCAAAAUUCAUGGUUCCCAAUUUCCAAUUUGCGGUAACAGCCCCAGUCCUUCCUACCACUGCAAGUCCAGAAUCGCAGAAUAAAAUCCUCCCAUGCAUCCACAACUUGAGAAUUGAAUAGUAGUCGUAUUUGGGGUAGUGGGAGGAGUGGUUGCGCUAGGCCUCUACAUUGAAUUUUUAUAGAAAGAGAAUAUUGGGCUAGGGAUAGAAGAUAGAGAUGAUGUAGAAGAAGAAAUGAGAAGGAUGAAGAAUAGAUGAAAGAGGGAGGAGCAAAGGGGAGAUAAAGAAAGAGGUGGGAUUAGAGAUGGGUUUGGAACUAAAUUCGACCUUAAUUCAAGGGUUGGAGUUUAAGUCUUUUUGGACCUACUUCGAAUGAGAGUCAAGAUAGUAAAGAUUAGGUUUGAAAUUGGGUCUAUAUUUAUUUGAUCUGGAUUCGAUCCUAUAUAUUUACCGUUAUUUGAAUAUUUAACUCAUAGUUAUUGUAACUUUAUUAUUAUUCUUUUUUGAUAAUUUUAUAGUUAAAAAAGUUUUUUAG